CAGCAGCCGCCACGGGAAUACGUAGGUGGCAAGCGUUGUCCGGAAUUAUUGGGCGUAAAGGGCUCGCAGGCGGUUUCUUAAGUCUGAUGUGAAAGCCCCCGGCUCAACCGGGGAGGGUCAUUGGAAACUGGGAAACUUGAGUGCAGAAGAGGAGAGUGGAAUUCCACGUGUAGCGGUGAAAUGCGUAGAGAUGUGGAGGAACACCAGUGGCGAAGGCGACUCUCUGGUCUGUAACUGACGCUGAGGAGCGAAAGCGUGGGGAGCGAACAGGAUUAGAUACCCCCGUAGUCCCUGUCUCUUAUAA
rnacentral:rRNA from 1 species